CCCCAAUCAAUCUUGUUUACCUAAACUCACAUCAGAGAUAAGAUGCUAACUGAGACCCAACAUUGAAAAGGGGGCGGGAGGGGGGGGGGGGGGUUGAAGUUUGUUAAAAUAAUAGGUAGUUGGGGCAUCUGUCCCAACACAUUUGAAAUUGAUGGUAAGUUUCAUUUUUUGCCAAUUUCUUGGUAACACAGGUUACUGUAAUUCAUUGAAAUGAAUAUAACUGGAAUUUUAGACACGCAUGUUUAUAUCAU